AUACGGAGGGUGCAAGCGUUACUCGGAAUCACUGGGCGUAAAGCGCGCGCAGGCGGCUAUUUAAGUUGGAUGUGAAAGCCUACGGCUCAACCGUAGAACUGCAUCCAAAACUAUUUAGCUAGAGUGUGGGAGAGGAAGAUGGAAUUAGUUGUGUAGGGGUAAAAUCCGUGGAGAUAACUAGGAAUACCAAAAGCGAAGGCAAUCUUCUGGAACACUACUGACGCUGAGGCGCGAAAGCGUGGGGAGCAAACGGGAUUAGAAACCCUAGUAGUCC
rnacentral:rRNA from 1 species